rnacentral:rRNA from 1 species
UACGUAGGGAUCAAGCGUUGUUCGGAUUUACUGGGCGUAAAGGGCGCGUAGGCGGCGUGGUAAGUCACUUGUGAAAUCUCUGAGCUUAACUCAGAACGGUCAAGUGAUACUGCUGUGCUAGAGUGCGGAAGGGGCAAUCGGAAUUCUUGGUGUAGCGGUGAAAUGCGUAGAUAUCAAGAGGAACACCUGAGGUGAAGACGGGUUGCUGGGCCGACACUGACGCUGAUGCGCGAAAGCCAGGGGAGCAAACGGG